GCGGGGCUUAACAUGUGGCGGGGGUGUGGUCCAACUGCGGCGAGGGCGGGGUUAAAUGUGCCCCCCUACUUUUGUCCCUGGCCCACCAUGUGCCCCCCCUAAAAAUGAAUCCUAGAGACGCCACUGCAUCAGACUACACCCCCAAACACCACACUGCACCCCUCACACACACACAUUACACUCCAAACACCACACUGCACCCUCACAUACACACACUAAACCCCAAACAUCACACAACACCCUUCGCAUGCACACACUACACCCCACUGCACCCCACUGCACCCCUCACAUGCACACACUAAACCCCAAACAGCACAUUACACCCCACACAUGCACACAAUACACCCCAAACAUCACACUACACCCUUCACAUGCACACACUACACCCCAAACACCACACAGCACCACACUCACACACACACACACACACACACACACUGGACACCACACAGCACCCCUCACACACCCUGCACCCCAAACACACAGUGCACCCUCACACAAACACACAGUGCAUCCUUCACACACACUGCACCCCAAACACACACUGCACCCCUCACACACAUAGUGCACCCUUCACACACACACUGCACGCCUCACACACUGCACCCUUUACACACACACAUUGCACACCCUGCAUCCCCAACACACAUUACAUUCUAGACACACAUACUACAUCCCUUAUACACACACACUACAUCCCUUAUACACACACCUUAGAUCCCAUACAUAACUAUGGAUCCUCUACACACUAUAAUCCCUAUACAAAAGCUGAAUCUUACACAAACACACACACACAUACACGAACACUGAAUCUCUUAUGCACACUCAAGGUUCUCCACACACACACUAGGUCCCCUACAGGAACAUAAUUCACCACAUACACACACUAAAUUAAAGAUGACAAAACACCCCCUCUCUCUGGCCUGCCCCCUUCUCAGUGGGCCUCUGUGAUUCAAAAACGCCCGGGCCGAAUUUCUUCCCCAGUCCGGCCCUGCCUGGCAGGAUGCAGAUGCGUCACCAAUAGGGAUGUCCCGAACAGUUUGCCGAACGGUUCGCCGCGGACAGCGAACAUAUGCGGUAAACUUUGACCCUGUACCUCACAGUCAGCAGACACAUCCAGCCAAUCAACAGCAGACCCUCC